ACUCCUACGGGAGGAGCAGUGGGGAAUAUUGCACAAUGGGCGAAAGCCUGAUGCAGCAACGCCGCGUGAGCGAUGAAGGCCUUCGGGUCGUAAAGCUCUGUCCUCAAGGAAGAUAAUGACGGUACUUGAGGAGGAAGCCCCGGCUAACUACGUGCCAGCAGCCGCGGUAAU
rnacentral:rRNA from 1 species